CCAUUUGUUAUGGUUAAAAAUUAGAAGUUUGGAAACUAUACAUGGAAAUUAUAGUAGAACCAGAUAGAAGCAUUUAAAAUUUCCGACAGGAAGAUUAAGUUUACAUAUAAAAUAUGAUUAAAAAAGUGCCAGCAAUCGCGGUCAUACUUUUAUAUUUUUUAAUUUAAACAUAUAAGGAUUAUUAUUAUAUUAAAAAUAGUGGUGAAAUAUUUUAAAUAUUUUUUAUAAUACACAUACAUAAUAAAAAAUUGAUAUAAAACAAGGAUUAGAUACCCUUUUAUUCAAUUCCCAUUAAUCCUUAUUAGGGACUACAAUCUUCCGGAUUAAAACCUAAAUAUCAUGGCGGUAAUUCUAAUUAUUAGGGGAACUUAUCAAAUAAAUGAUAACCACCAAGGUUAAUUUACUUUUUUAAAAAUUUUGUAUGCCGUCGCCGUCAGAUAGUAUAUGAUAUACUGUCAAUAAUUAUAUUCUAUUAAAAGGCAGAUCAAGGUGCAGAUUAUAAAAAAGACAUGGCGAGUUACUAUGGAACACGGAUAUAUUUAUUAAAUAAAGUUGAAGAAGGACUUAAAUGUAAUUUAUAUUACCUUUAUUAAAUGAAUUCUACUAGAAUUGUGCACAAAUCGCCCGUCACUCUUGGGUUUACCUAAGAUAAGUCGUAACAUAGUAGGUGUAGUGGAAACUGCUCC
rnacentral:rRNA from 1 species